rnacentral:rRNA from 1 species
GACGAACGCUGGCGGCGUGCUUAACACAUGCAAGUCGAACGAUGAAACCGCUUCGGUGGUGGAUUAGUGGCGAACGGGUGAGUAACACGUGGGCAAUCUGCACUUCACUCUGGGACAAGCCCUGGAAACGGGGUCUAAUACCGGAUAACACUCUGUCCCGCAUGGGACGGGGUUGAAAGCUCCGGCGGUGAAGGAUGAGCCCGCGGCCUAUCAGCUUGUUGGUGGGGUAAUGGCCUACCAAGGCGACGACGGUUAGCCGGCCUGAUAGGGAGACCGGACACACUGGGACUGAGACACGGCCCAGACGCCGGCGGGGGGCAGCAGUGGGGGAUAUUGGACAAUGGGCGAAAGCCUGAUCCAGCAACGCCGCGUGAGGGAUGACGGCCUUCGGGUUGUAAACCUCUUUCAGCAGGGACGAAGCGAAAGUGCCGGGACCUGCAGAAGAAGGACCGGCCAACUACGUGCCAGCCGCCGCGGUAA